GCCCUGGACAACUUUCAGGAAGACAGUUCUGGUCUGUAGCAAUUAACACAUGGUCAUCCUCAGAAAAAGGAGAUACCCAUAACUUAAAAUGCAGGAACCAAGAGAUUUGAGCCUAGACAUUUGGAUGAAAAGCGAUUUCCACCUGGAGAAAGUCACUGCCCUUCUGUGCAGAGUACCAUUGUGUCUUGAAUCCAGCUUGGCCAUAAGGAAAUGGGGCGAGACUUUGUCAUGUAUGUCGCUGAAGUUCAGCUAUGCAAAAAUGUUCACCUAUCCUUGAUCAACCAGUCCAGGAACCAUCAAAGAAGAAAAUGAGAUUCGACUUAGAAGACCUGUUCUUUAUAAACCCCUGCACAGCCCUAAUGAUCAACACCACUUCCAGUGCUCAUAAAUUACUGCUUCAAUAAUUGUUCUGCAAUUCUGCCUAUUCUCAUUGAAUGCUUCGUAUAAUCCCUUUAUUUACUUUGGGCUACGAUUCAUUUUUA
rnacentral:lncRNA from 10 species